rnacentral:lncRNA from 1 species
CACCACGAUGACUUGCAAGCAACUUACUGUGCUUUGGUGCCAGACUACCUAAAUUUUUAUUUCAAGAUCGAAAGGUUUCUAGGCAUGUCAAGUAUUUGUGAAGUCGAUGCAUGAAUCAAGAUGGAAUUGAUCACUCCAAAGGAUUGGAGAGAAUACUUGACAUUUCAAUAUAGUAAGAUCUUGGCCAGGACAAUCCUUGUGAGGAG